ACUCAGUACUCGGUGUAGAGUCUGUGUGAUUCAGAAGAGCAGCUACAUCUGAAUACUGGGUCA
rnacentral:pre_miRNA from 1 species